AAAACUUACCAGGUCAAGACAUGGGCGUGAUUGACAGGCUAAUGACUUUUCUCGAUUCCAUGGAUGGUGGCGCAUGGUCGCACUUAGUUGGUGCAGUGAUUUGUCAGGUUUAUUCCGGUAACGAACGAGACCUCGGCCUUGUAAAUAGCUAUGCUGCUUACAGGGACAUUGGCGGCUACGCCAAGGAAGCUCGAGGCAAUUGCAGAUCUGGAAUGCCCUUAGAUGUCCUGGGUCGCACGCGUGCUACAAUGACGCCACGAACGAGCUUGCGUGAUGAAAGUUACGCAUAAUCAGCAGUCGGCGUCUUAAGGGAUAGUCUCUUGUAACUGUGGGACUCCAACUAGGAAUGUCUCGUAAGCACAAGUCAACAUCUUGUGUUGAUUACGUCCCUGCUCUUUGUACACACCGCCCGUCGCUCCUACCGAUCGAGUGUUUAGGUGAAUUUGAUGGACGUAAGGAAGUCAAAUAAACCUGAGCACUAGAGAAGAGAAGUCUAGCUG
rnacentral:rRNA from 1 species